CGGACCGAACGAGAGCUUGCUCUUGUUUGGUCAGCGGCGGACGGGUGAGUAACACGUGGGCAACCUGCCCGCAAGACCGGGAUAACUCCGGGAAACCGGAGCUAAUACCGGAUAACACCAAAGACCGCAUGGUCUUUGGUUGAAAGGCGGCUUCGGCUGCCACUUGCGGAUGGGCCCGCGGCGCAUUAGCUAGUUGGUGAGGUAACGGCUCACCAAGGCGACGAUGCGUAGCCGGCCUGAGAGGGUGACCGGCCACACUGGGACUGAGACACGGCCCAGACUCCUACGGGAGGCAGCAGUAGGGAAUCUUCCGCAAUGGACGAAAGUCUGACGGAGCGACGCCGCGUGAGCGAAGAAGGCCUUCGGGUCGUAAAGCUCUGUUGUGAGGGACGAAGGAGCGCCGUUUGAAUAAGGCGGCGCGGUGACGGUACCUCACGAGAAAGCCCCGGCUAACUACGUGCCAGCAGCCGCGGUAAUACGUAGGGGGCGAGCGUUGUCCGGAAUUAUUGGGCGUAAAGCGCGCGCAGGCGGUCCUUUAAGUCUGAUGUGAAAGCCCACGGCUCAACCGUGGACGGUCAUUGGAAACUGGGGGACUUGAGUGCAGGAGAGGAGAGCGGAAUUCCACCUGUACCGUUGAAAUGCCUAUAGAUGUG
rnacentral:rRNA from 1 species